AAACAGGCUGAGGGAGGGGAGCUGGUCUCAGACCAGUCUCCCCUGCUACCUUAAGUGGGACAUAGCUCGUUGAAAACAGCCUGUAUGUGUGUUGUGUGUGUGUGUGUGUGUGUG